GGAGUUUGGGCCGUGUCUCAGUCCCAAUGUGGCCGGUCGCCCUCUCAGGCCGGCUACAGAUCGUCGCUUUGGUGGGCCAUUACCCCGCCAACUGGCUAAUCUGACGCGGAGCCAUCCCUAUCCACCUUGGUUUUUCACACUCCGGGAUGCCCCGGUGUGCGCUUAUGCGGUAUUAGCAGUCAUUUCUAACUGUUAUCCCCCUGAUAAGGGCAGGUUCUCCACGCGUUACUCACCCGUCCGCCACUAACUUGCCCGGGCGAUGUCUGCAAAGUGCAAGCACCUCACUUCUAUCAAUUGGACAAGUCCGUUCGACUUGCAUGUGUUAAGCACGCCGCCAGCGUUCAUC
rnacentral:rRNA from 1 species